AUUGAACGCUGGCGGCAUGCCUUACACAUGCAAGUCGAACGGUAACGCGGGGCAACCUGGCGACGGGUGGCGAACGGGUGAGUAAUGCAUCGGAACGUGCCCAGUAGUGGGGGAUAGCCCGGCGAAAGCCGGAUUAAUACCGCAUACGACCUACGGGUGAAAGCGGGGGACCGUAGGGCCUCGCGCUAUUGGAGCGGCCGAUGUCAGAUUAGGUUGUUGGUGGGGUAAAGGCCUACCAAGCCGACGACCUGUAGCUGGUCUGAGAGGACGACCAGCCACACUGGGACUGAGACACGGCCCAGACUCCUACGGGAGGCAGCAGUGGGGAAUUUUGGACAAUGGGGGCAACCCUGAUCCAGCCAUGCCGCGUGCGGGAAGAAGGCCUUCGGGUUGUAAACCGCUUUUGUCAGGGAAGAAACGCUCUGGGCUAAUACCCUGGGGUAAUGACGGUACCUGAAGAAUAGGCACCGGCUAACUACGUGCCAGCCGCCGCCGUAA
rnacentral:rRNA from 1 species